GCCCAAGCAGCUGAGACUACAGAGGUGGGCUACCACACCUGGCUAAUGUUUUUUUGUAGAGACAGGGUCCCACUAUGUUGCCCAGGAUGGUCUUGAACUCCUUGCCCCCGGGCAAUAUUCCUGCCUCAGCCUCCCAAAGUGUUGGGUUUACAGGUAUGAUCCACUGUGCCCAUCCUGGAUGCAGACUUUAAGCAGAGUCACAUCAACAAGAAGAGCUGUGAAGGUCAGGGCAUGACCCACAGAUGCCCAAACACUGCACUGGAGGUCCAGGAAGAUUCUGCUGACAACGCAACCCUGAGCCAAGAUCUGAAGGAUAAGAGGGAGCUUAUAACAUGGAAGAAGGAACAGUAUUCCUGGCAAGUGGAACAGCAUGUGCAAAGGUCAGGUGGUAAGAGGGGCUUCAAGGACAGUCCUAUGGCUGGAGCAGAGUGAUUGAGGGCAUGUGAAAUGAGAGGUGGCCAGGGUGGCAGGCAGGGACUAGCCCAAUGGCCGUGAAAGGGAUGGGACUUUGGUCACUGUUUCGCAUUUCCAGAUGUUUACUAUGUGCCAGGCUUGGUACUAAAUGCUUUUCUGGAAUAUCUCACUAGAUUCUCACAUAGAUGAAGGGCUUGAUCUUAGAGAGGUUAGAUCCCUCAGCCGAGAGCCCACAGUGAGGAAGCCAUGGGGCCUGUGUCCCUGACUGCAAGACCUGUGCUCAGAACGGCCAGGCCACACAGACCUCAACUCUCACUACAACCUCCUGAAGUCGGUGUGGUUACUCUUCCCACUUUACAGAUGAGGACAUGGGCCCAGAGAGGUUAUGUGAGUGACACAGCUUGAAGGUGGAGUUAAGCCUGGGCAGUCUGGCUUCAGAGUGUCCACAGUCUCAACCACUGCCUCACAUGGCUUCUUAGAAAAUAUUAUAAAAAGAAGCUCGGGCUGCCAUGUGGAAAAGAAUGGAGAGGGGACAAUGACACAGCUGGGAGCAUGCUGUGAUGGUGUACAGCGGACACAUUCAGGAUGAGGAGGGUUCCGAAAUGAGAAACUGUGGAAUCUAAGCUGGAGAGGAAGAAAGACGGAGAAUGAGUGAACGCACACGUGUGGGACAGAUAGAUGAAUAUUCAUGUCUUUGGCUCCUAUGUACCUGAGUCUUCUAAAGCUGCAGGCCAUACUACCCCCGGGAGGCUGCAGGGAUGCCAGCUGGGAGAUGAAUGCAACUCUGCUGCCUGGGCAUGGGCCUGAGUGAGGGUGCAGACCCCUGCCUGUGAUCAUCAGGGAGGGUGAUGAGAACAAGGUGGCUGACAGGGUGAGGCCCAAGCCUGGAGCUUACCCAGGUGCGGGGAUGGGAGGGUCAGAGACCUUUGGGGGGUCUUAGGGAGCUUCCCCAGCCCUAAAGGCACCGCAAGCUGCCACUUCACACUGACCUGGGCAUACGCAGCUGCAGGAUCCCUUGCUCGCUCUCUCACAAGCAAAUGUAGACUGCGCAACCAUCCUGACCACAGAUCCAGAAAGCCCAGGACAUAACAGAGCCGCAGUGCCUGCCCUGAUCCACGCGCACACAGAUCUAGCCCAGGAACAAGCCCAUCCACGGUGAGGAACUUGUGGCCCAGUGGCUGGAGCCUCUCACCUGAGCCCUCACUGCCUGAGGACCCCCAGCCUCUGGCCUCAUUUCCCACCCUUUGCCAGCCAGCCUUGGGGACAAAACAGGUCUGGAUCUAAUCCAAGGUCUGGACUCACCCUGACACCCUGUGAACUCAAGGCCUUCCCUACCUCACCCUGGGCCCAGAGCCCCUACCUGUAAAGUGGAAGUGGGAAUGGCCACCAGCCAGGCAGAAACCCUCACUUAGGGCCUCAUGGCCAGGCAUCAGGACAGUCAGGAGAGGGGCCGAGGUAAGCCACAGAGGCCCUGCCUGUCUUGGUAUCCCACCAUCGCCAGGAGGGGACUGCAUGGGCAUCACACCCCUCACAGAUGAACAAAGUGAGGCAGAGAAGGGCCUCAAGAUGAGUUAGGGGCGAGGCCCCAGCUCUGCUGCUGCCCCUUCCCUUAUCACCCCUGCAGCCUGGGAUGCGAGGGUGGCCAGUGACAGACCCCAAGGACUCUAGGCUAAGGUCUCCUUACCUGCGUUCUGUGGCCUGCUCCCCGCCUGCAUGCCGCCUCAUGGGGGUCCUCUGGCUGGCCCAGGAGCACGGUUGGCCCAGCAGAGCAGCUCAGUGUUAUGGGGAAGGGAGGCCCAGCCCACCACGCCGACCGCCUGGGGCCCUAUGUAUAUUUAAUGAUGUCUAUUAUUCCUGUUUUGUCUCUGGAAAGGAGUGAGCAGCUGACAGGGGAGCCACGAACAGCCUGGAGAGCUGAGCAUGGGCCUGCUCCACACUCCAGCGGGGCCCGAGGCCCCCGGGAACUCUACCCCUCCUGGCAGCCUCACAGAACCUGCUGCAUCCAUCUCAAAAGGCAUACCUCCUCCAGGAAGCCUUCCCCGCUGCUCAGAGGUCUUAAAUCCGGGGUCUGCACUCACAAACUGUGCAGCCUACACCAGCUUCUGGGGGACAGCAGAACACUGUGGGGGGCCUGGCACAGUCCCUGGCACACGGUAGGCACUCAUCGAGCCCCUGCCAGCCCCUCUACUCCUGACUUCUGAGGCAACAGGAAAUGACCCGCCACCUUGUUCUCACAGAGCCUCCCUGCCAGCCCAGAUGGUCACAAGGGCCUCCUGGGAUGCUGCCCACCUUGGCAGCCAGGCCCCUCCGGAGGGGCCAGUCUGGGCCUGACACCCCCGAACACCAACCCCCUGGGCAGAGCCUGCCUGUGCCUGGGUGAGGAACCCUGCAGUCUCCUUGCCACACAAGGCCUGGGUCUGCCUUGGGGCCCAGGCUGCACCCUCUCCGACCCCCAGGCCCAAUGUCUGACCUGUGCCCACCUGACUCAACCUGGCUACUGUUCAGCAAGUUUACAAAGUGUUCUCAGUCUGAACAGGAACCGUUUUCAAUCCUUUAUUUCAGAAAGGAGAGCCAGGAGAACUGGGGACUUAGAAAAUACAGAUCCUAAACUCAAAAGUCCCUGC
rnacentral:lncRNA from 1 species